rnacentral:rRNA from 1 species
UACGUAGGGGGGCAAGCGUUGUCCGGAAUUAUUGGGCGUAAAGAGCGCGUAGGCGGUCCGAUAAGUCGGCUGUGAAAGUCCAGGGCUCAACCCUGGAAAGCCGGCCGAUACUGUCGGACUAGAGUCCGGAAGAGGCAAGUGGAAUUCCCGGUGUAGCGGUGAAAUGCGCAGAUAUCGGGAGGAACACCAAUUGCGAAGGCAGCUUGCUGGGACGGUACUGACGCUGAGGCGCGAAAGCGUGGGGAGCAAACAGG